UACGGAGGGAGCUAGCGUUGUUCGGAAUUACUGGGCGUAAAGGGCUCGUAGGUGGCCAACUAAGUCAGACGUGAAAUCCCUCAGCUUAACUGGGGAACUGCGUCUGAUACUGGAUGGCUUGAGUUUGGGAGAGGGAUGCGGAAUUCCAGGUGUAGCGGUGAAAUGCGUAGAUAUCUGGAGGAACACCGGUGGCGAAGGCGGCAUCCUGGACCAACACUGACACUGAUGAGCGAAAGCCAGGGGAGCAAACGGG
rnacentral:rRNA from 1 species